rnacentral:rRNA from 1 species
CAGCCGCCGCGGGAAUACAGAGGGUGCGAGCGUUAAUCGGAUUUACUGGGCGUAAAGCGUGCGUAGGCGGCUUCUUAAGUCGGAUGUGAAAUCCCUGAGCUUAACUUAGGAAUUGCAUUCGAUACUGGGAAGCUAGAGUAUGGGAGAGGAUGGUAGAAUUCCAGGUGUAGCGGUGAAAUGCGUAGAGAUCUGGAGGAAUACCGAUGGCGAAGGCAGCCAUCUGGCCUAAUACUGACGCUGAGGUACGAAAGCAUGGGGAGCAAACAGGAUUAGAUACCCGGGUAGUCCCUGUCUCUUAUAU